CCUACGGGUGGCAGCAGUGGGGGAUAUUGCACAAUGGGGGAAACCCUGAUGCAGCGACGCCGCGUGGGUGAAGAAGCGCCUCGGCGCGUAAAGCCCUGUCAGCAGGGAAGAAAAUGACGGUACCUGAAGAAGAAGCCCCGGCUAACUAGGUGCCAGCAGCCGCGGUAAUACGUAGGGGGCAAGCGUUAUCCGGAUUUACGGGGUGUAAAGGGGGCGCAGACGGGGAUGCAAGCCAGGAGUGAAAGCCCGGGGCCCAACCCCGGGACUGCUCUUGGAACUGGGUGGCUAGAGUGCAGGAGGGGCAGGCGGAAUUCCUGGUGUAGCGGUGAAAUGCGUAGAUAUCAGGAGGAACACCGGUGGCGAAGGCAGCCUGCUGGACUGCAACUGACGUUGAGGCCCGAAAGCGUGGGGAGCAAACAGGAUUAGAUACCCUUGUAGUC
rnacentral:rRNA from 1 species